GACAGAGGUCCCGAGCGUUAGGCGGAAUCACUGGGCUUAAAGCGUGUGUAGGCGGAUUUGUAAGUACCUUGUGAAAUCCCACGGCUCAACCGUGGAACUGCUCGGUAUACUGCUUAUCUUGGGCCAUCUAGGGGCUAGCGGAACAAACGGUGGAGCGGUGAAAUGCGUAGAUAUCGUUUGGAACGCCAAUGGUGAAAACAGCUAGCUGGGGAUGCUGCCGACGCUGAGACACGAAAGCCAGGGGAGCAAACGGG
rnacentral:rRNA from 1 species